AGAGUUUGAUCAUGGCUCAGGACGAACGCUGGCGGCGCGCUUAACACAUGCAAGUCGAGCGAGAACCAGGGCUUCGGCCCUGGGGACAGCGGCGAACGGGUGAGUAACACGUGGGUCAUCUGCCCUCGGCACCGGAAUAGCCCGGGGAAACCCGGAUUAAUGCCGGAUGGCCCGACUGCUCCACGGGGCGGUCGGAAAAGGUAGCUUCGGCCUCCGGCCGAGGAUGAGCCCGCGGCGGAUUAGCUAGUCGGUGAGGUAAUGGCUCACCGAGGCGACGAUCCGUAGCUGGUCUGAGAGGACGAUCAGCCACACUGGGACUGAGACACGGCCCAGACUCCUACGGGAGGCAGCAGUGGGGAAUCUUGCGCAAUGGGCGAAAGCCUGACGCAGCGACGCCGCGUGAGGGAAGAAGGCUCUCGUGUUGUAAACCUCUUUCAGGAGGGACGAAGCCACUCGGGUUAAUAGCCCAGAGGGUGACGGUACCUCCAGAAGAAGCCCCGGCUAACUACGUGCCAGCAGCCGCGGUAAUACGUAGGGGGCAAGCGUUGUCCGGAUUUAUUGGGCGUAAAGAGCGUGUAGGCGGCCAGACAGGUCCGUUGUGAAAACUGGAGGCUCAACCUCCAGACGUCGAUGGAAACCGUCUGGCUAGAGUCCGGAAGAGGAGAGUGGAAUUCCUGGUGUAGCGGUGAAAUGCGCAGAU
rnacentral:rRNA from 1 species